rnacentral:rRNA from 1 species
CCUACGGGAGGCAGCAGUGAGGAAUAUUGGUCAAUGGACGAGAGUCUGAACCAGCCAAGUAGCGUGAAGGAUGACUGCCCUAUGGGUUGUAAACUUCUUUUAUAUGGGAAUAAAACGUUCCACGUGUGGGUUUUUGUAUGUACUUUAUGAAUAAGGAUCGGCUAACUCCGUGCCAGCAGCCGCGGUAAUACGGAGGAUCCGAGCGUUAUCCGGAUUUAUUGGGUUUAAAGGGAGCGUAGGUGGGUUGUUAAGUCAGUUGUGAAAGUUUGCGGCUCAACCGUAAAAUUGCAAUUGAGACUGGCAGUCUUGAGUACAGUUGAGGUAGGCGGAAUUCGUGGUGUAGCGGUGAAAUGCUUAGAUAUCGCGCAGAACCCCGAUUGCGAAGGCAGAUUACCAACUCCACACUGACACUGAGGCACGAAAGCGUGGGUAUCGAACAGGAUUAGAUACCCGAGUAGUC